rnacentral:lncRNA from 10 species
UUUCACCAGGUGGCUGCACUGCGGUCCCUGAGCCUACUCUGGCUCCAGAGGCUGCCCAAUUUGCAAAUUAUUCUUUGCACAAUUAAAGUCUUAAAUUAAAUCACCUAAGGCUUUUAUUUUAACAGAUGAUGUCAGAAGUAGGAUCUGGAGUACAGUGUCUAACAACUCAAAUGAGUGCUGAGCGACCACGCGAGGUACCCACCAACCCCACUGCGUCCACUGCUUUCCCCAGGUAGCUGGGGAUCACGUUUCUCAGAACUUCACAAGCAGGCAAAAUCCUAGAAUAUGGUGUCUUUAAGGAAACUUACGGAAGGACGAAAAUGACCCUGAAAGUGACUUUAUUGGGUCAAGUAAUAAUAUGAAAUCCAACAUGAAUUUUCUGUGUGGGAGACAGAAAAACCAAGCAAGAAAAUGAGGUAUAGUGGAGGAGAAACAGAAAAAGAAGGAAGAAGCACAAAGAAAGCAUGAAGCAUUUACCGAGGAGUAUGUCUAAUCCACAAGAAUAUUUAUGAAAUAAACAGAGACAUCCCAACC